ACAUGUUAUCAGAGAAAUAAGCUGGGCAAACGUUAGCAGCAGCUCGGCUAGCAGCCCUUCAUGGACGUCUGGUGCUUGCCGAACAUCAUCGGAGAAACAUUGAUUUUUUACGUGAAACAGCGUCAUUCAGUAUUUUUAUGGUUUUAAUCCCCUUGUACGUUUAUUUUUGGAGAAGAGGAGACCUCUGCGGAUAAUUCGACUCCUGGUAGAAACCUGCUGAAUGUCUGUGUCUUAAGUUAUCAGAGUAACAAGCUGAGCAAACGUUAGCGGCAGCUCAGCUAACAGCCCCUACUGGACGUCUGGUGCCAGCCGAACAGUGUCAGAGAGACACUGGUUUUCAAUGUGAAACUGCUUUAUUCAGUGUUUUUACCCGUUUUAAUCACCGGGUCUGUUCGUUUUGGAGAGAAGGAGACCUCUGCGGAUGAUUCGGCUCCCGCAUGACGGAAGCCUGCUGGAGAGUGCCUGAGCUUCUUUCUCCACGAUACUGACUGCGCUGAGGAGCUCCAUGAGGGAGGAACCAGUCUUGGUCCUAAAUAGUUCCUCAAUUUGGUGAAUGAAAUCAUUGGCUUCUUGGGAGAGACGGCAAAGACCACCUGCCUUAAACUCUUUUAAGGCUUCCAACCUCCCUUUUGACCAAUCUUCAUCCCACGGAACAGAUGGACGAUGUCCUGGAGGAAGCUGUGAUCAGCAGCUAUGGGCUCUCUAUUUAAAGGUCCACGGGUGCAUCAUGGUGCAGGGGCCCUCCUCUUUUUGACCACAGGGUGAUGCACAAAGAUGGGGGGAAUAGCAUCUGCUUUCAGCCUAGUCCUGCCCUUUUUGGUCUUGACAAACUGGUCUGCCUCAAAAUGUUCCUGCAGAGAGAUCACAAGAACAACAGGGGGAUUCAAUGGAGCCUGAAGACUCUGCAAUGAGACAGCACCCUCACCCUGCACCGUAAGACUCAACUCCCUGGGCUUUGCAAGACUUUUUAAUAAACCAAACAUUAAGCU